rnacentral:rRNA from 1 species
AGCGUGUGCUCUCCCCGUCCGGCAGGACCGGGUAACCCGCUGAACCUCCUUCGUGAUAGGGACAGGGGCUUGUAACUGUUCCCCUCGAACGAGGAAUUCCCAGUAAGCGCAGGUCAUCAGCCUGCGUUGAUUACGUCCCUGCCCUUUGUACACACCGCCCGUCGCUACUACCGAUUGAAUGAUUUAGUGAGGUCUUCGGACUGGCGCUCGGAGCGGUGCCCGGCGCCGGGCCGACGUGCCGGAAAGAUGACCAAACUUGAUCAUUUAGAGGAAGUAAAAGUCGUAACAAGGUUUCC